AGUAGAGUUACAUUCACACAUUUAUUGUCUAAAAGUAGAGUUACAUUCACACAUCUAUUGUCUAAAAGUAGAGUUACAUUCAGACAGGACACUCUGCUGCGUGGAACCCUCGCGUUGAGGGUUCCACGUAGCAGAGGGUUACAGAACUUAAAGUCGCGUCGCCCUUCCCUUAAAAACAAUGUCAGACACCCCUGUCCUACCAAAUACCCCUACAACUGGAGGGGUAGGGGAGGGGAAGUGUUGUAGAAACACUGGUAUUAGAAAACAGAGUAAUAUUCACAAUAUUCAUUCAUUGUCCUGUUCACACCAUAAAAAUGAUGUUUGUGACGUUUACAUAAUUCUGGACCAAACUGGUUUGUCCUGGAUGCUGCUGGUCUGAAUGGUUGUUUCCAUUUACAGUCAAUCUCUAGAUCUUUGCUGUUUCUUCUGUUGAUAACAUUCAGAUUAAGUCAGUCAUUACCGUAAUACAUGUGUUACAAUGACCUAUGACCUUUAUAUUUAGACUGCACCUGUAGCUCUUUAGCUUAACUUAACGCUGCAACCUGGAAAUAGAGGAUAUUUCAUCACUCCUGGGUUCUAACAGCUACAUGACAUUCACGUGACAGACGCGGCGUCCAGCAGUGGCGUGUGGUUUGAGGAAAGGCCAUUACCUUCUUACAUAACUUUGGUCAGUGAUGUGGAAAAAGCACAGAUCCUGUUAGGAAUAAGCCCCGCCCACACCUGUCUGAAGGCCAAGAGAACCCAGUUCAGGACUGGGAGCCAAAUCCUUUAGGACCGUGUCAUCUAGAGUCAAAUGAGCUGUGCCGUAGCGUCCAGCCUAAUGCAACUUCAGCCAAAUGCCUUCUGGGAGGGAGGCAGAGGAGCAGCAGCUGCAGUUGGAGCUGGAGGAUGGAGGCAGGAGCAGUUUGGAGGAAUGAAGAGCUGCAAGCUUCAGGUUUCAGCUGCAGAUCCUGAGGAGGAACCAGCUCUGAUGAGGAGAACGUUGGAACGUGUUCUGCAGACGUUCCUUCACAUCAUGAACUCCGUUUGUUCUGUUCUGGGAGAAAGAGUCACCAGAACAUUUUCUGUCCUGCUGCUCGUUCAAACCCUCCAAACCCUCCUUGAUUUGGACCCCCCCCCCCGAACCUCCUUCACACCACCUUUCUGCACCUCGACCCCCAUGACCCCCAAAGCCCCCCACAGAUGCUCCCUGCACUUGCCUCGGAC